rnacentral:lncRNA from 1 species
CACAAUGUGAGACAUCAAACAUAAAAACCAUGAUUGGUGAAAAAUAAAAGACAUGAGGUGAUCUGUUGUGUACAUCUUUUACAAGUUCCACUUGUUCCUGGCAGUAUGGAUUCAGAGUCUAGGGGUUUGUUAUCUCGCAUGCACAGAAUACCUUUUGUUUUAAAGAUAUUUCCAAUGGUUAAUUCGGGAACAUUGUCAGACAUAAUAACAAAUUGUUUUAUUGAAUUGCGUUUCAAUCAUUGUGAUGGAAGUAUGAAGCAAGACGGUCAACUCAAGACAUCAGAUUUGGCCUGUAACAAAUAAAUCCGAGUAGCACCGCUAUGAUCAUCUACUGUGGUUAACUAUAUUUUAUAGAACUCAAAGAUUAUAAGAAUGCCUUUCUUAUUAGCUUAAGAAAAUAUGCUCAAAACUUAAGCUCUCAAACUCUAGACUCUUGUAAGUUAUGUCACACUUUGACAUCUCCUUAUAUAGAGCUUAUUAUUUCCUAAUCCUAUUAAACAAUACAUUUAGAUAACUCCUAAACAUAUCUAUCCAUAUCUCGGUAGGAUUAGGACUCAUGCUUAUCUCUAAGCUUCCUUGCUCUUCAAGCUUAAUCCAACAUUUUCCCCCUUAAGCUUGAACUCCAUCUUUGACAACUCUAGAACUCCCAUGAGCUCUCUCAUCUCCUUGAACUUCAGUCUACCAAGUGCCUUGGUUAAUAUAUCUGCCUUUUGCUCAGUCCCCGGAACAUGCUCCACAUUAAUCUUUCCUUUCUCAACACACUCUCUAAUGAAGUGGUAUCUAGUGUGAAUAUGUUUGCUCCUUCCAUGAAACACAGGGUUUCUUGUAAGUGCAAUGGCUGACUGAUUAUCAAUCCGUAUGACCACUUUCUCACACUUCGAACCAUUGAUUUCUUCAAGCAAGUCGUGUAACCAGAUCGCUUGACGUGCUGCCUCUGUUCCUGCCAUGAAUUCCGCUUCACAUGACGACAAAGCUACUGUCUCCUGCUUCUGUGAACACCAAGUGACUGGGCUCUUCCCAAGAUAAAAAACAUGACCUGUUGUGCUUCUACCAUCGUCAGGGUCCACAUUAUGACUGCUGUCACUGUAUCCUACCAGCUUUGUUGCCGUUGCUGUUGAACGCUCAAAGACCAAGCCGUAAGUUGUCGUCCCUUUCAGAUAGCGCAAACACUGCUUCAUUGCAGCACCAUGUGAUUCCUUUGGAUCUUGCAUAUACCGGCUUAACACUCCUACACAAUAUGAGAGGUCUGGCCGUGUGUGCAAUAAGUAGCGUAGACAGCCAAUGUUGCGCCUGUAAUUGGUUGCAUCUAUCGAUCUCUCUUCUUCUGACCUUGAUAACUUGAGUCCAGGAUCCAUAGGUGUCUGCGUUUCAUUGCAGUCUUUCAUCCCAGCUUCCUCUAAUAUCUUCAAUGCAUAACCUCUCUGACUCAGAGUAAUUCCAUCAAGGUGUUGACUCACUUCAAUUCCGAGAUAGUAUGUCAACUCUCCCAAGUCACUCAUUUCGAACUUAGUUGACAUCUCCUUUUUAAACUCAAUGAUAAGCUUCAUGUUUGAUCCUGUAACAAACAAGUCGUCAACAUAGAUUGCAACAAUGAGGAGAUCAUCUUCUACCUUCUUUCGAUAAACUGAUGGUUCUUUGGAACACUUGAAGAAUUGCAGCUCCUUAAGUAUUGAAUCCAACUUGUUGUUCCAGGCUCUGGGUGCCUGUCUUAAGCCAUAUAAAGCUUUGUUUAACCGAUACACUUUGUCUUCAGACCCUUUAACUUCGAACCCCUCCGGUUGCUUGACGUAUACGGUUUCUUUUAACUCCCCAUGUAAGAACGCCGUCUUGACGUCAAGAUGGUGAAUCCUCCACCCGUUAGCAGCAGCUAGAUUUAUCAGAAGUCGUAUUGUCUCUAUGCGAGCCACGGGAGCGAAGACUUCGUCAAAGUCUACUCCAUGUACUUGCACGUAUCCUUUGGCGACAAGACGAGCUUUAUGCUUGUUGAUACUACCAUCAGAGUUCCUUUUGAGCUUAAACACCCACUUCAAACCAAUCGACUUUGCUCCAGCUGGUAACUCUGCAAGUGUCCAGGUACCGUUCUUCUCUAUGGACCGUAUCUCGUCCUUGCAAGCCAAUGUCCACUCCUUUGACUCCUUUGCCUCCUCAAAGCUAUGUGGUUCAUCAUUCAGGCACAUGAGCAAGUAGUCUCCUUCUUCUUCUGCAAGGAGUACGUAGUCCUCUAGAUACUUGGGUUUCACGCUUUCUCUCUGCGAUCUUCUCAGUGUGACUUGUUCUUCUUCUUCUCCCUCGCUUUCUUCUUCAAGAUCUAUCACACUGCUCGUUAUAUCUUUAAUUUCUUGAGCACCACGAUUACUAGUUUCAGUUUCAGCUGUUUCUUCACUCAACCAUUGAUCUUCAUUAAUACCAUGAUUCCCAAACUCACUCAAACUUAUCUUAAACUCUCCAGCUGUACUCUGCUCUGCGUUAGUUUGAUGCCAGUUCCAUCCUUUUGUUUCUUCAAAGACGACAUCUCGACUCACAAUAAUUCUCUGCGUCUGAGGAUCAUACAUACGGUAGGCUUUAGAACCCGGUUCUGUCCCUAGAUGAACAAGGAUUCUUGACCUAUCUUCCAACUUCUGCAGAUGUGGCUUUACUAUUUUCGCAUAGCCUAUGCACCCGAAAGUCUUGAGAUGACUAACGUUAGGCUUCUUCCCUCGAAAAGCCUCGUACGGAGUCUUAUCCUUAAGCACUCUGGUAGCUACUCGAUUUAGCAAAUAGGUAGUGUGUCUGAUUGCCUCUCCCCAUAGAUAACUUGGAACUUGCAUAUGCUUCAGUAUGCUGCGUGUCAUGCCCAUCAUUGUUCUGUUCCGUCUCUCCACCACUCCGUUUUGCUGUGGCGUAUAGGGAGCCGUAAGAUGCCUUUUAAUUCCGUUCUUCUCGCAAAACUCAUUGAACUCGUGAGAAACAAACUCUCCACCUCUGUCACUUCUGAAAGUCUGUAUUCUUUUACCUGAGUCUUGUUCUACCAUUGUUUUAAACUUUUGGAAUUUCUCAAAGACUUCACUCUUCUCCUUAAGUAACACUGUCCACAUAUAGCGCGAAUGGUCAUCGAUGAGCACGAGUACAUACUUGUUUCCUGGAAUUGUGUGUGGCGUUAUCGGACCACAGAGAUCACCGUGAAUGAGCUCAAGUAUCUUAUCUGCUCGGUAUGAGGUAGACUGCGGGAAUGAUUGCCUCGCUUGCUUGCCAAGCAAACAUGAUCCACACACACUUUUCUCCACUGCUACAUGAGGUAUUCCGUUCACAAGCUCCCUUUGCACCAUAGACCUUAAGCAAUCAAAGUUUAUGUGUCCUAACCUCGCAUGCCAACGGACAGAGUCGCUAGUUGUUGUUGUCAGGAGACACAUGGUAUCUUUUAUCCCCAUCCGAACCUUAUAUAAUCUGUUCUUCGACCUCAUUGCUUUGACCAACAACUUACCAUCUUGAUCAUGCAUAGUUAAACAUUCACCUUUCAGCCUUAUGUCGCAGCCUGACUCUGUGGCUUGGCCAAGGCUGACGAUAUUACUCUUCAAAUCAGGUAUGUAAUAGACAUCUUUCAUUGUUCUAGCUUCUCCGUUUCCGUCGAUGAACUCAAUGGAACCCUUUCCUUUGAUGUCUAUGCGAGAGUCAUCCCCAAACUUAACCUUUCCUGUGAUGCUUUCAUUAACUCUUUUGAAGUAUCGACGAUCUCCAGUCAUGUGGUUACUGGCUCCAUUGUCCAAAUACCACAUGUUAUCCUCUCCACAAGAUUCAUAUCUACUCAGCAUCACGUUUUCUUCAUUAAGAUAGAUCACCUCAUGCAUCAUAAGCUCGUCUGCAUCUUGGGUAUCAUCUCGCUCUUGUUCUUGUGCUUCCUGCAACUUGAGGAGUCGAUCUGGACAAGUAGAGGCGUAAUGACCCAUCUUGUCACAACGGAAACACAUUAUUCUCGAUGUGUCUCUUCCUCCAUAGCGUCCACGUCCUCUGCCCCUGUUAGUCCGUCCUCCUCUGCCUCGAAACCCUCUAUCAUCUUGAGAAUCACGUGAUUGCUGCUCUGUAUUAGAAUACAUAAGCUUGCUUUGAUCUUCCGGAUUGUCAUCUUCCUCCUGAACACGUUCUUCAUAGGCUUUCAAGCGCCCCACAAUAUCUUCAAAACUCGUGGUCUUGAGAUCAAGCACCUGUUCAAGGGCUGCGACGAUGUGUAUAUACUUCUUGCGGGGUAGGCACUUAAGAAACUUUUUGACAAGUUUUGGUUCCUCAAUCUCCUCUCCCAAAGCACUGGAUUUAGAAGAAAGUUCCGAUAGCUUGCCGACAAAGUCAUCGAUCUUCUCGGUGUCUUUCAUCUUUAACCUAUCAAAAUCCGCCAUUAAGGUCUGCAACCUUGCCUCCUUGACCCUCUCUGCACCAACAUGACGAGCCCUGACAGCAUCCCACACCUUCUUCGCAGUGUCCAACUCUCCAACUUGCAGAACCAAAGUCUCGGGUAUUGCUUGGAACAAUAAAGCGAUUGCUACGUCGUUCUUAUCAUCCUCAUCCGUUCCGUUCUCGACAAUACUCCACACUUUAUGAACUCUAAGCAAAUUCUUCAUCCGUAUCGCCCACACCGUGUAGUUGGUUGAGUUCAACAUUGGACACUUGAUGGAGGAUUUCUCUCCAUCCUUCAAAUUUGUAUUCGAUACUAUUGCUAAGUCUCCCAUUCUCGAUCGUUCUUCAAAUUAUCAACGGAUGUUGAUUUUCUGAAGCUCUGAUACCAAAUAUAGAACUCAAAGAUUAUAAGAAUGCCUCUCUUAUUAGCUUAAGAAAAUAUGCUCAAAACUUAAGCUCUCAAACUCUAGACUCUUGUAAGUUAUGUCACACUUUGACAUCUCCUUAUAUAGAGCUUAUUAUUUCCUAAUCCUAUUAAACAAUACAUUUAGAUAACUCCUAAACAUAUCUAUCCAUAUCUCGGUAGGAUUAGGACUCAUGCUUAUCUCUAAGCUUCCUUGCUCUUCAAGCUUAAUCCAACAUAUUUUUAACCCAAACAUCAGUGAUCAUUUGAGGAGAUUCAGUCGCUAUACAAUGCCCGAAUAAAUUACACAUUAACAUCGAUGUAAUUCAAAGGCAGCCUCCUC